CAACCAUGAAUCACCUCACCCUCCUUUUCUGGACAGUGGUCUGUGGAUCCUUAACAGGAACCAGCAGUCAGGUGACUGUGACUCAGACACCAGUAGUGUCCGUUACUCCAGGAUCCACGGUCACUCUGACCUGUAAAACCAACACAGCGGUUUUCAACAAUGAUUUUAUAUUCUGGUAUCAACAGAAGCCUGGAGAAGAACCCAAGCCCCUAAUAACACGUGUCAGUACACGUGAAUCAUCAACCCCAGCUCGGUUUAGUGGCAGUGGAAGCAGCACUGACUUCUCUCUGACCAUCAACGGCGCCCAGCGUGAAGAUGCAGCAGUUUAUCACUGUCAGAGUACCCACUAUCCUAACAGUGUCUGGGUUCGGACUUUUGGUGGAGGCACCAAACUCAUCGUUGAUUUGGGAGUGGUGCAGCCCACGCUGAGCGUCCUCCCUCCCUCCAGAGUGGAGCUGGAGCAGGGCAGUGCUACACUAGUGUGUGCGGCCAGUGGGGGCUUCCCCUCAGACUGGAAGCUUGGCUGGAAGGUGGGGGGCAGCAGCAGGUCUGGGGGGGUGUCAGAUAGCCUGGGGGUCCAGGGGAAAGAUGGCCACUACAGCUGGAGCAGCACCUUGACCCUCCCUGCAGACCAGUGGAGGAAGGCGGGCUCAGUGAGCUGUGAGGCCAGUAAGAAUGGCCAGACGCAGCCUGUCACUCAAACCCUGAAUCCUGACCAGUGUUCUGAGUAGAGAGGCUCCAGCAUGGAGGUACUGGAGGACACAGAUCUCCUCUGACACGCCUGCUCUAAGACUCUCUGUCUCAGGUGGCCCCGCAGCUUUUGUUGAUUUACAAUAAUAUAACUCGUGUUUGAUUCAUUAACUUGAUGCUCUCUGGAUUUUACCCGUUGCUUGUGUUGGUCACUUGUUGAACAUUUAAUAAAGAUUUAAAGAAUAAAUUC